CGCGUGGGUAACCUGCCCUGUACACACGGAUAACAUACCGAAAGGUAUGCUAAUACGAGAUAAUAUACUUUUAUCGCAUGGUAGAAGUAUCAAAGCUCCGGCGGUACAGGAUGGACCCGCGUCUGAUUAGCUAGUUGGUAAGGUAACGGCUUACCAAGGCGACGAUCAGUAGCCGACCUGAGAGGGUGAUCGGCCACAUUGGAACUGAGACACGGUCCAAACUCCUACGGGAGGCAGCAGUGGGGAAUAUUGCACAAUGGGCGAAAGCCUGAUGCAGCAACGCCGCGUGAGCGAUGAAGGCCUUCGGGUCGUAAAGCUCUGUCCUCAAGGAAGAUAAUGACGGUACUUGAGGAGGAAGCCCCGGCUAACCACGUG
rnacentral:rRNA from 1 species